rnacentral:lncRNA from 1 species
GAGUCAGAUGCCAUCACUCGCUCCCUGAGACGGGGUGGAGAGAGGGUCCAGAAGUGUUAUCUACGUGGAGUUGUCUCCACAGGGAUGGAAAUACCAGAAGUGGGAAGACGAGUCUCCCGGUAGCUAUCUCACAGGUUUGGUGCGAAAGUGAAAUAAACUCUAGCAGGGUUGUCUUGCUCGGAGAAGUCUCCGUGAUAUUUAGCAUCUCAGUGUCUGAUGGAGGCUGAGACUGUGGAAGCGGCUACCGAGGCAGGAAUUUCUCCGGUGUCGCUCUUUCUUAGGAGGGGCGGAAUGCUCUGCUUUCUUACGUGUCAGCGGAAGGCUCCCCAAACACAUGCCUGAGCCCUUCAGAAUUAUGUUCAGAGGGGGCACGGAACAAAGAAAAGGUUGACCCCAUCCUCACUUGCUGGAGGCAGGAGAUGUGAUUCAAUGUGUCAGAGAACUUCCUAAACGACAAGACAGCAAUUUUUUAAAGUUAACUUAAAAAAGAAAAGAAAAGAAAGAAAGCUCAUGUCCUUGGCUGAUGAGCGUGGAGAAGACCUUGGGAUGGUUUUCAGAGAGACGGAAGCCUUAGCACAGGCCUGCUGCUGCACGCGUGAGUUUGGGGCUUCACCGGACAACUGUGGGACCCCCGCCCCUCCCCCACCUCCGCUGCCCCCCCUGCCCCCCCUGCCUGGCCGCAUCCUCAGAGGUUUCCCAUGUCACCGUCUCCUCCAUGCAGCUGUGGGUCUGUCCUUCCUAAAACAGCAUAAUCAUGUAAUGCAUUUGCUUUAAAACCUCCAGAAGGUCUCGUUUUCCAGCAGUGAUGCCGUCCUAGUUCCUUGGCAUGUCUAUUACCCUAUUGACAGUCCAGCUCCAACUCCGCUGUCCAGACCCACCCCCUGUCACUUGUCCCUGCAGGUUCUCUUUUGGCCACAAGAAACCACCUGUUUUCCUGUGCUCGUGCUCCUCCUUUUCUUACCUGUGCUCCUGCUGGUCCCUCCAACCAGAACCCUGUCUCCUCCACCUCUUCUCUGGAAGGUGGAUUCCCAUGACCCACUUCCAACGUCUCCUCCCUUGAAGAAGUCUCCUCUCGAACCCGCCCUCUGCCUUUCCCCAUUCAGCCAGCUUUCAUUGCUUCCUCUGUUAUUCUCUCAAAGCAUUUUUUGAAAGUCUGUUGCAGAGUUCCCACAAUGGCUCAGCAGUAGCAAACCCAAAUAGUACCCAAAGGACGUGGGGUUCGAUCCCUGGUCUCGCUCAGUGGGUUAAGGAUCCCGUGUUACCUUGAGCUGUGGUGUAGGUCACAGAUGAGGCUCAGAUCCAUCGUUGCUGUGGUUGUGGUGUAGGCUGGCAGCUGUAGCUCUGAUUUGACCUCUAGCCUGGGAAUUUCCAUUUGCCUUGGGUAUGGCCCUAAAAUGCAAAUAAAUAAACAAAUAUAAAAAGCCUGUCUCUAAUUAAAAAAAAAAAAAAAAAAAA